UACGUAGGGGGCAAGCGUUGUCCGGAUUUAUUGGGCGUAAAGAGCGUGUAGGCGGCCUGAAAGGUCAGCUGUGAAAACUCGAGGCUCAACCUCGAGACGUCGGUUGAAACCAUCUGGCUAGAGUCCGGAAGAGGAGUGUGGAAUUCCCGGUGUAGCGGUGAAAUGCGCAGUUAUCGGGAAGAACACCCGUGGCGAAGGCGGCACUCUGGGACGGUACUGACGCUGAGACGCGAAAGCGUGGGGAGCGAACAGG
rnacentral:rRNA from 1 species